rnacentral:lncRNA from 1 species
GUUCUGCUACACAUGAAGGAAAAUCCAAAUUUGGGGGUUGAAGAAUCAAUAGCAAUUGUACAGAAGACCUUGGAUGAAAAGAAGAAAGAGUUUCUAGAACUGGCUCUGAGUAGUAACGAAAUGCCAGAAGCAUGCAAACAACUUCACCUUCACUGCCUCAAAGCAUUUCAGAUGUUUUUCAAUUCUACAAAUGCAUUCGACUCCCCAACAGAGUUGCUUGCUGACAUCAACAAAGCAAUUUUUGAUUCCUUGAGAGUGGAAGAUGUGCAAGGAUCAUUUAUGCCACUCAACUCUAUGCAAGGCACUCUUGGUUUGAAGAGGGAUAAAAGUUUGGCUAUCCAUGGCAAAUCCCAUUACAGCUCUUCUAAGCCCUGUAAUGGGAUUUUUGAGAGCAAUUGUGCUAUCAAAGUCCAAGGGAAUUCAAGGAAAGGCUUGGUGACCAAGCCUUAUUCUAGAAUCUUAUCAGUAAAGAUGAGAAACCCAAUUAUUUAUCCAACCUUUUCAAAUCCCAAAGCUUACAUCUAAAGCUCCCUUUUAUGUGGCUUCCUUUCUUUACUUUAUGUGUUUCCCUUUCAAAAGCCUUUUCUCUGCUUUUUCAAAUGUUGACCCAGAGGUCCUCUAAUUCUCCCUAUGAACUUACAUUCCCUUUGUUCUACAUCCCUUGCAUCUCCCUCAUCUUUCUUUUCUCUCAUCCCUCCACUCUUCCGUCGACCCGUGUCUCUCCCCCAUCAAAUCUCAAAACCAAAAGUCCUCUACCCCUAAAAGUUACUUGGUUUGCCACUGGAUUGCUACAACUAUUUUACUCCAACAACUCAUUCUCAAAUCUAACACUUGAAUUAAUCUGCACUUGUGGGCUCUGAAAAUCUAUGGUCAAUUUUGACUACUAUUUGAUAGAUCGCUUGAGUAUGAUGCAUGGUGGCAUGCUCCCUCAUAUUCACAGUCUACAGAUCUUCUCUCUUGGUUCUCCUGGACCUAGCUCUUCUUGUGGCAGCGGUGGCGUAUAUGGUGGUGAUGACAGUUGUGCUAUCAAAGUUCAAGGGAACACGAGGAAAGUUAGUGACCAAUCCUUACUCUAGAAUCUUAUCACUUGAGAUGAGAAACCCAACUAUUUAUACAACCUUUUCAAAGCCCAAAGUUUACAUCUAUUAGCUUUUUUAUAUGUGGCCGCUGGUAUAUCGAACGCUUCCUUUUUAUGUAUGCACUAAGUCUCAGUUUGUUUGUAUAAUAUAAUUUGAUAGAGUGGAGACUUCCACCUUAUAUAUAAAAUAAUUUUGAAGAGUGGACUUCCAUAGAUUAUUAUACAUAUCUUCCUUCUUUUUUAUUGGUAGCUACGGUUUCAGGAUUUCAAAUUGAAGUUGACUAAAUUUACUUUACUUACAAGACUUGAGAGGAGCAGAAUUAGUGGGGCCAAUAUGCAAAGAUUUCCAACUUUUUUAAAAAAGACUGAACCUAUAUUAAUUAAUCAUAACAAAAACUCACACUAACUAACCAAGGAAAUAAACUCAUACUAAUUAAUCAAAACAAUUAAAAAUGUAGAAGUUAUUUGUUAGCUUCUUAUAUCUAAAGCUUCCCUUAAGUGUGUUUAUAAUAUAAUUUCAUAGAGUUGACUUUUAUAGAUUAUUAAAAUACACAAUUUCGAUCUUUUGGACCACAUGAGUCCAAGAUGUUGUGGUCAUCCACCGUUGGAUAUUAAUCCAAUAGUUCAAAAAAGUUUCUUAAAAGGAGUGUAAGAGUGAGUGAACCGUUGAAUUUGCAUCCAACGGUAAGUGACCACAAAUCUCUUGGACCCCUGUAAUCCAAGAGAUCGAGACUGUUAAAAUAUAUACGUAUGUGUAUAAUACGAGUAUUAGACAUUAAAAUGCUAAUUUUUAAAAAAUAAUAUACGUUUUUAUCAUUUCGAAAUCUCGUGUAAACUUGAUUAUUGUGUUGUUGAAAUGUUAAUAAAUAAAUAAAUAAUUCACAUAAAUCAAAUUACACCAUAAAAAUCCAAAUAUAGAGUUUCCAUUAAGGAAAAGAUAUACCUUUAGAGUCCAAAAUAUUUCAUCGGAGCUCUAAAUGAGACUCUAUUCACCAUUUUUAGACCUCAUUUAGAGACUAUGAUUGGAGAUGCCCCAAUAAGUUUUAUGGCUAGAGCGGCUUUAUUUGUUUUGUGUUGCAUUAAUUUCUUUGAGUUCACUUUAAUGUAUUGACUUUGGAUUUCUUUGAGCAUAACUCCAAAUUUGGUAUUCCAAGUCUUCGCAUGGGUCUUUGCCAAACAAACAAAGUACGACUUGUGGUUGUAGAGGUCAUAAUGAUGGAUGGACCAUUUUGGAAGUGUACAAUUCAGAACGUAAAAGCUUCACACAAAUAAGAUUAAUUGUUCUUAUGGAUUUGUUGUAUUCAGAAAAAACUAAUUUAGAUUGAAAUAAAGCACCAUUGACUUUAUUGAAACGAUUAAUAUAUAAGUCAUCUACACGUACGUACAUUUUAGAUCAUAUGCAUAGGCUUAUAUCAUGCAUGACCUCAGUCUCAGAUAUGCAUGAUGCAUAUAUUGUUUGCGGCCAUUAAUGGAAUAUCCAUUAGGGUAAGUAGUGUAGUAAUUUGGAGUAAAUGUUCUCUUCUAGAAAAGGUUAUGGGUUCGAGUUCUAGUAUUUGUGUAGUAUGUGUGAGUUUAAUAUGUUAUCGCCACUCUUAGUAGGAAAAGGUCCUCGAAAAAGAGAAAGAAAAAGAUUACUUAACUUGGUCAUUAUCCUGUUGCGUUUAUAUAGUUAACCUUGAUAGCUGCCAAUCCUUCAGUAUAUACACAGAUAUUCUGGUCCUACUAGACAUAUAAGAUGUUUGUUUCCCGUAUAGCUUUUAUUUUGGCCACAAAAAAUCUAGUACACACAUUUAGAAUAUAUGUUAUUCUAAUUCACUAAAUUUCAUAGAAAUUUGAGUGUGAUCAUAUCACUUCUUUGUACAUGUUAUAAUAUGAAUGAAUCAUAAAUUUUUUACGGUAUAAUAUCAAUAAUAAUAAAUAAAAUUCAUGUUAUAAUGCAAAACAUCAAUGUCGUGACACCCUACCACUCUUGAAUGCGUCUGGUCUACCCCUCGACAAUACCAUGUUUUGGGCCAUAAAAUUACGUUGCACGUUGUGUGGUGGUCAAGAAGCUAUCAGAAUAACUGUGUGUAAAGCAGGUUGCGAAAUUCAUAUAUGUCGGCCCUCUGGCCCUCUGGUCGAAUUCAUAUAUAGAAGACCCAGACUUGACAUUUGAAUACAGAAAUGAAGCAUCAGAUUUGCGGCCGGAUCAGGUGGGUCCACCAGAUUGACAAACUUAAAAUUUUUAAGUCCAGACAAAGAAACUCUACAUCCAACACAGAAUUUUCAUGUGUAAACACUGAAAAAAAGAAUCAAAAGACAAUUAGAAUUCCAGGUGUUACCCUUAUAAAUAAUAAAGUGCAUGCAUGCAUGCUUCCAUAUUGUAACUAGCCUUGAUUUCAUUACCUUAAACUAUCCCAGCGCUUGCCCAGACAUUUCGUGGAAAACCCACAAUAUUAAUAUGGUCUGACUCUGGACUGGACCGGACCAGAAGUACCUCAUACAAUUGAGGGCAUACACGAGUAUUUGGUUGAACUCCAAAAGUGGCCAGCCAUUCAUACCACUACUCGACACAGUAGAAAUUGAUUUUUAAUUUGGUUCUGAGUUCCCAUAUACAUAUAGGAGAGUCACAACCAAACUGAAAGUUUCGGAGAAAAAAGGAAUAAUAAAGAUCUUAGAUGAAGUUGACUCAUUUCGUGCCAAAAUGACGUUUCAAAAAACUCAUUUGAUAAGUUGGGCAUUACCGAUAUCUAUACACCAACUUGAGGGGGAGUAUUGGCGUAAGUCAAUUAGUCUUAUUAGGAAUAGAAUUAUAUAAUUAUUAUAGUUUAUUAUAGUUACUUAAUUUGUGUAUAUUUCCUAUUUGUAUUCACUCUGUAUAUAGUAUAUAUAUUCCUCUUUAAGAGAAGAAUAAACAUACCAGUUUAAACUGUAAUUAUCUAUGAGUGAUCCAUCCAUCCCAUGCAAAAAUAUAUAGAGCCAGCCACCACUACCUCCCUUCCCUUCUAUAAGAAAAAGGGCCACUGUCUAUGGAGGGAAGCCUCAUAUUGGGUUGGUUUUUGAGGUUGGAUGGAGGAUUUUCAUGAAGCAAAUGAACAAGAAUGAAUAAUAGAAGGUUAAACAAUUCUGAUUCUAAAUCAAGUCUUUUUUCUUUUCUCUUUUCGAGAAACCUAUAAAAUCGUUGGAAAAUAAUAAUAAAGAUUUGCCUAAAAAUAUUCACCAAGCAACCAUGAGAGCCAUUACAGGGCGCCAAACAAGUAACCAUGAGAGCUAUAUAACACAGAAAAAGGGACCACCGUCUAACUUGUUUUGAAUCCGAGUUGAACCCAGGGAGUUCUUCAAUUCUAUGUCAAGAGGUUAUUGCUUAGAUUGGUUCUUUGUUUCAUGUCAAAGAUUUAGGGCCCCUACAUUAUUUUCUUGGGCUUGAAGUUACAAGGUCUUCUGAGGGUUUAUUCUUGUCUCAAACUAAGUAUGCUUACUUAUGAACUGCUGCAGAAAUCUGAUUUCUUGAGAGCCAAGGCUUACUUAUGAACUGCUGCAGAUUAUUUAAGCAUAUUUUUCAAAUCACCACUACAAAAAGUGAAAAAGACGACCAGAAAACAACGACGGUCUAGGUGAAAACCGUCGUGGUUUUUAAAAAGACGACGGUUCUAAAAACACCGUCGUGUAAUACCACCUUGACAACUAAAAAUGGAGAUUCAAAUGGCUGUUCAAAAACAACGACGUACCUAAUUAAACAACCGACGUCUAUUUGAAACAGAUUUCGGCAGUGUAAAAUCAAAACCAACAAAGAACGGCAGAAGUUAUGAAUCGACCGACGUAGAAAGUAAAGACGACGAUUUCAAUAAAAGCCGCCGUUUUUACUCAUAAAAUAACACGACGAGGUUUUCGUAUAAGACGCCGUAUAAUUACAAACAAAUCCAAGGCUUUAAAAUACAAAAUAUCGCCGUAUUAAAUUAAUGUACAACGACGAAAAAUAUAAAUAUAUCGACGUCAUUCUCGUAUAGUUCUACGACGUUAUCUUUAAAUCGUACUAUAAAAUUCAACGUCGUAUUUAUUCAUUUUAUACGUCGUCUUAAUAAGAAUUUUUGUUAACAAUUUUUUUCUUUGAUUUUCUUAUCCUAUGUCGGUAGAUCUACUUAAUGACAAGAAUUGAAAUAACCACGACGAUUUAUAUAGAAAACCGCCGACAUAAUCAGAUUUUUCUGAGAUCCCAAGGGUUACGAAAUCUUACCAGAUGGAACUCUGUUCCACAUCAUAAUCUUAACAGAUGACACAGAUUUGCAAUCAGAGAGACAAUUUUUUGGAAGUUGAUGAUGUGUGUGCGUUUGUGUAUCUACAAAUAUUAUACCUAACGUCGUUGCAAAUUUGCAAUCAGAGAGACAAUUUUCAACAACGGUUAUAUUAUACCUAACGACGUUUAAAAAACAAAUGAACGUCGCUAAACAAAUAUAUUACGUCGUCUUAGUCUUACUUAAGACGACGAAAAACGACGACAGUAAUACAAAAACAGUCGUUGUUUUUAUAUUCUUAUUUUAUUUAAAUCUGUCAUCCAAAAAAGAAACUUUACAUAUUCCAGAACAUUAAUUUCCUUCAUUUUAAAUUUUCUCCGGAAAAAAAACUCUAUUUAUAACGCACUGUAAUUGAAAAAUAAACUGAAAGGUCACGGGAAAAAAAAUUCUAUUCAUAAUUUAAAAAUUCAAAUCCACGUCGGUUAUAUUAAAACUAACGACGUUAAAUGAAAAUAUUCCACGUCGCAAAACAAAUAUUGCGUCGUUUUAGUUAAAAACGACGUCAUAACAAAAACCCGUCGUUGUUUCAAACUGAAUUAAUUUAAAAUUUCUUCGGGAAAGCAAAAUCUAUUUAUAAUUUCCUCGGGUUAGUAAUAUUGCGUCGUGUUAGUUUACAAAUUCUAGAACAUUAAUUUCCCUCAUUUGAAAUUUCCUCGGGAAAGAAAAAUCUAUUUAUCACGCUUUGUAAUUGAAAACUAAAACUGAAAGAAUUCGGGAAAAAAACACUCUAUUUAUAAUUUAAAAAUAAAAUCCACGUCGGUUGUAGUACACUUAACGACGUUUAACAAAAUAAUCUACGUCGGUAAUUAUAAAUAUACCGCCAUCUUACCUUUAUAUAGACGACGAGAAAAGACGACGGUAGAACAGAAAACCGCCGUUGUUUCAGUUUCUUUAACAGUUUGGUCCUUUAUCUUUCUGCAGGACUUGUAUAGUUCAAAGCAUUGACAAUGUCUUCAUCAUAUCUCCCAGCAACUACUGAUUCGAUUGCUCAUGCUUUAGAGGCCAUCUGAAGCCAUUUCUAUUCUCUAUCGCAUUCUUGAAACCCAUCUUCUUCUUCUGAAGCUCUACGUAAAGGAAGAGGCUAUCACAAAUCUGACGGAUCUUCUUAGUCAAAAAAAUCAAGCAGAGGAUCAGGCACAUCUGAUCUUCAGAUUUCCCUGAGAAGCGAACUUUCCUUCGACAGCGAGUGGAGGCCAGGCUUGCAUCUCUUUUGAUGGAAAGCAAGGAGUAUUCAGAAGCACUAAGUGUCCUAUCAGGCUUGAUCAAGGAAGUGAGAAGGCUAGUUGACAAGCUUCUUCUUGUCAACUAGCCUAAAUGUAAGCUCAAUUUCUCUUUGAGAAAGACCUCCAAAUUAUUGUCUUUGAGAUGUGAGAGACAGUGUCUCUGAGAGAGGAAGAACUUGGAACCCUAAAUGUAAACCGCGAAAAUGAAUGAAAGCGACAAAUUUAUAGAAUAAAUUUUUAAAACCAACGGCGGUCCUUACCAAAAAACCGCCGUUUAAAUUGUAAAAUCAACGUCGGUAUUACUGACGUACAUUACAGAACUCCACGCCGUAUUAUUUUUUUGAAAUGGUUUUAUAUGUAAGCAACUUUUCGUCUACUUGACUUACACAUUAGUUGUUUUUAUAUUCUUAUUUUAUUUAAAUCUGUCAUCCAAAAAAGAAACUUUACAUAUUGCAGAAUAUUAAUUUCCUUCGUUUUAAAUUUCCUCCGGAAAAAAAACUCUAUUUAUAACGCACUGUAAUUGAAAAAUAAACUGAAAGGUCACGGGAAAAAAAAAAUUCUAUUCAUAAUUUAAAAAUUAAAAUCCACGUCUGUUAUAUUAAACCUAACGACGUUAAAUGAAAUGAUUCCACGUCGAACUAAAAUUAUUGCGUCGUGUUAGUUAAAAACGACGUAGUUAAAUGUAACCGCCGUAUUAUUUUUUUGAAAUGGUUUUAUAUGUAAGCAACUUUUGGACUUACACAUGCACUGUUUCCAAACCCGAUUAGAAAUUUCAAUCUCCAGAGAAACCUUUUCGUCUCUUUUCCUUGUCAGAGCAUUGUCAGAGUUUCUCAUCGUCUUCCUCUCGUCUUCUUCGUCGUCCUUGAACUUAAACAUCGAUCAUCUUCCUCUUGCUUUCAUUGCACGCAAAAGGUAAGCUUUCAUUUUCACUAUUUUGGUUACUGUUUUGCAUGCUCAUACGUUUUUUGUUUGAAAAAUCUUUUUACCUUUUUUCUGGCCAAAAUCAUUUUACUUCUUUCCAAGUUUGAUAAAAUAUACAGACAAAGAGGGAAAGUUUCCAACUUUGAAGACAACUACCUCAACUAAAUAAGACGACGGUAGACCACGACGGUUCGUAAGUUGUUCUAGCGUCGUCUGAAAAUUGACAAAGUUGUUUUUAAAAUAAUAGUCUUUUUUUAUAUGCUUGUUUAAUUGCAGGUUUGAUUUCUCUGAACAAUGGUUUUUGUUUUUCCCUUAUUUGAUAAAAUAUAAAGAAAAAGAAACUAGGGUUGGUAUCUAAUAUAGACGACAAAAUAUCUUAUUGUUUUACGUCGUGUGAAUGUUAAUACCACGACGGUGUAUUACUAUUGACGUCGUAUGAACAUAAAUACCACGACGUUAUAUAAAUAAUAGUUUACCACGACGGUGUAUUACUAUUGACGUCGUGUGAACAUAUAUACCACGACGUUAUAUAAAUAAUGGUUUUAAACAUUUAUUACAUCUGACAUUAUUUCAUUGCGUCGUCUAAAAUCAUAUCAUACGUCGUAUUUUUUAAUACCGUCGUUUGUGUUCUUAAUGUUUUCCUGAAAUAUUUUCACUUGCAGUUUUGUCUGUUAAAAUGGUUUCUCAACAACAAACUAAGGAUUCUGGCUCCAAGAAGCUUGGAAUGGUAGCUCCUCAAGACAAGUCUUCGAAGGAGAUGAAGUCUUCGAAGAAGAUGAAGUUUGCUUCAUCAUCUGCUGAGACAGAACCAACCAGCCAGACAACAAUCUCUGAUGAUUCAAAGACUGGUCGAGGUAUGAGCACAAUGCCUCGUGUUGUGAAGAGAAAGCUUCAGAAACUGAGGCCAAUUGUUGAGUACAAUAAAAGGGGGAAAGGUGUUGGCCAAGCACAUAUUGAGAUGCAGUCGUAUAUUGGUGUGUUGGCACGCUCCAGGAUCCCACUUGUGGACAAGAAAUGGUCCCAAAUCCCCAAGGAUAUAAAGGAGCAGAUUUGGGAAGCAGUUGACAUGGCUUUUGUCGUAGGCCAAGGGGGCAAGACCUCUGUUUUAGCUUCUGCUUCCAAGAAAUGGAAGGAUUUCAAGUCUACACUAACGAGGCAUUAUAUCCUUCCAUACACCAAUGACAGGGAGAAAUUAAGCCAACCCCCUGAAACAUAUAAAUUCAUAGAGAAAGCACAAUGGGAUGCCUUUGUAGCUUCAAGGCUAUCCAAAGAUUUUGAGUCUGUGCAUUCUCAACAUGCACAGAUUAGGGAGAAACUCGAGUACAAUCAUCGAUUGUCUCGAAAAGGAUAUGCUGGAUUGGAGGAUCAAUUGGAGGAAACCAUGCCUGGGGUAGAAAUUGAUCGAUCUACCUUAUGGAAGAGAGCUAGACAGGACAAACAUGGUAACAUCCCUGAUCCAAAGGUGGCAGAGAAAGCUAAAUUAAUUGUAAGCCUACUAUCACUCUGUUUUAAAUUUUUAUUAAACUGUGAAUUAUUCUUAUUACGUCGUGUGUUAUAUUGUUCGUCGUGUGAAUGAUAUUACCACGUCGAAACUUUGUUAAAAACGUCGUUAACGGUCUAAAUAGGAAUCACUACUCUGUUUUCUUUAAUUAUAGCAUAAGACGUCGGUUGUUUAUUCAUUUCGUCGUUUUAAAUAAAUAACCACGUCGGUAUAACUACCGUCGUGAUAAGUUAUAAUAACGUCGUUUUAUAUGUUAUUGCGUCGUGUGAAAUUAUAUAAUACGUCGUUUGUACAUAAAUAACCGUCGUGUGUUUUUUUGUUUAUCUUUGUUUUAGGAUGAAUUGCAGAAACAAGUCUCGGAAGGCAAAGUCAGAGUAGAUGGCAGCAAUGAUGUGCUGACCAUGGCUUUGGGCCCCGAGCAUCCAGGCAGGGUGAGGGGAGUUGGUGCUGGUGUUUCCCCAAGGCAAUAUUUCAAUUUGCCCAAACCACAGAGGGUGAGCUUUGACGACCGUUUGAAGGAGAGUUUAAGAGUUCUCCUUCAAGAAGAGACUAAAAAGAUGGAGGCUAAGGCAAGGGAAGAGGCCUUAAGGAUGGAGGCUAGGACAAAACAAUUGGUAGAGGCUGAGAGGGAGCAUUUCCUGAGUCAGCUUUCCCAAUUAAUUCCCAAUUUUGAUCCAAGCAUGCUUAAACCAAGAAUUAGCCAAAGCCCCAAAAAUCCAAUGUCUGACAAAGCUAGCUGCUCUGGAGGUGAUGUGAGAUCCCUACAUUUGGAGGAUGAUACUGCCAAAAUGGGGAAACAUCAGCCAGAUGAAGAGAAGGAAGAAGAAAAGAGAGAUGAAGAGAAGGAAGAAGAAAAAAGAUAUGAAGAGAAGGAAGAAGAAAAAAGAGAUGAAGAGAAGGAAGAAGAAAAUGAGAAAGAAGAUGAAGAAAAGCAUGACGACAAGGUAUGUUAACAUAACUUUUUUAUUUGUUUUUCAAAAUUUCAGACGUCGAUAUUUUUAUUUAAUCCGUCGUUUGUUUACAACUUAGACGGCGGAAUUUUUUUAAGACGUAAUAAAAUAUUUAAACGACGGUUUUUUCACCGUCGUUUAAAAGGUUUCAGACGACUCUUUAUUCAUAAAACCGUCGUCUUUAUUAAAUUACCACGACAAUUUUUUCACCGUCGUUUAAAUACUUUUAAAACGACGUUUUAUUCCUUAAACCGUCGUCUUUAUUGAAUUACCACGUCAUUUUUUUUUCUUUAAACAGGUUAUUGAAGUUGGUGCUUAUUCAAAAAUGGAGGCGCCAUCUUCUUUAAAAACCCUUUGUCGUUUUGUGGAAACGACACUCCUGCCUGAGGAUAAGACAGUCCAAUUUACAAUUGAUAAGGGGGUGUUUGGUGGUGAGCGCGAUACCUUCCUCCUGCCUGAAGAUAUUACACAAUUUGCAGGCAUGGAAGAAAUUGGAGCUACUGUAUUGGCUGUAUAUAUGAGGUUUGUACUUCUAAAAUAAUAACUCGUUGGUUUAUAUAUUGCGUCGUCUUAACUAACUAACCACGUCGUCUUAACUAACAACCGUCGUGAUAAAUAUAUUAUAACGUCCUCAUCUAUUUCAGUACGUCGUUUGAAAUAUUAUAAUACGUCGUUGUUUUAUACAUAACCGUCGUGUUUUGUGUGCUGACUUGUUUAUAUUAUUUUAUUUGUUUAGGUACUUACACGAUGUUUUGAAAAAAGCCAAUAUGUGCAGUAUGGUUGGCUUUAUCGACCCUGCUACAGUUAGUGCCAACUCUGGCACAAUAACUGCCAGAUCACGACUGGUAGCAGCUCGACUUCAGAAGACAGACGGUGAACAGAUUUUCAUGAUGCCUUACAAUCCAGGGUUAGUCUCCUUAGGAUUUUGUUUUUAUGAUUUUCAAUAAAUGACAGCUUAUAAACUAACCACGUCGGUGUUUUAUUUUAUUUAGUCGUUUGAAACUACUAACCACGUCGGUAUUUAUUUAUCGUCGUGAUAAAUAUAUAAUGUCGUCGUUAGCUACUUUACUUCGUCGUGUGAAAUACUAUAAUACGUCGUUUUUGUAAAUAACCGUCGUUUUUAUAUUAAUUUUGUGCAGCCGUCAUUGGAUUUUGCUGAUUGUAAGAGCAAAGAGAGAAACCGUCUAUUUUCUGGAUCCUCUGCCAGGAAAUCGUGUGGUCGAUGAAGAGGCCAAAAACAUCGUGAACAGUGCUUUAAAAUUAUAUAAUACCCACAUAGCCCGAGCAGGACGUAAAAAUGUAAUUUGGAAAACUCUCUCAGGCACACCAAAGCAACCCAGCAAUGUCGAAUGCGGGUAUUAUGUAAUGCGCUUCAUGAGGGACAUCAUCAUGGAUCCUUCCUUGGGGUUUGAGAAUAAGGUAAGAAGAAAUUACCUUCAUACAUUUCACGUCGUUUUUUGUAUUAUCAACGACGGUCGUGUAAAAUUAACGUCGUUGAAUGGAUAUACUACGUCGGUUAUGAAAAAUAUCGUCGUCUGUGAUUGAAUUUCUUUUUAUUUAUAAACCCUAAUAGUCAUUGUUUAUGCAGUAUGCCAAGGGAAACCAGGAAGCUUCAUACCCCCAAGAAGCCAUUGAUGAAGUCCGGAAUGAAUGGGCAGAGUUUGUUUUCCAAAUUAUUAAACAGGGCAAUUAUUGAACACUUGAUAUUUAUGUAUAAUGUACCAAUUUUCUCUAUAAUAUGUAAUGUAAAAAUUUGUUGAGGUUUUCUUAAAUUAAAAAAAAAACAAACAUACAAAUUGCUUAACCGACGUGUAAUACUUUUCCAACGACCUAAUAAAGUCAAUAACCGUCGUAUUUUGUUGUUGCGUGUUUUAAACAAAUACGACGUAAAAAAAUAGUUAGACGACGUUCUUUGAACAAUUGAGUCGUUAAUGGUUUACAAUAUCUUCAAUUUCUUAAGGGUUCAGGGUAUAAUCGACGACGUUUAUGUAACGACUGCGGUUAAGUCGUAAAAUAUAUAUUUUACGUCGUAUAGUUAAAUAGCCGCCAUGGUUUCUCAUUUUAACGACGUCAUUUUAACGACUUAGUAGUCUAUUACAAUUUACAACGUCUACAAUUUAUUUAACACCGACGUGGUUUGUUGUAUGGUAAGAAUAUUUUAUUAUUUUUAUAUCAAAAUAUUCAAAAUAAAUAUAAAAUAAAUCAGAAAAUUGAAAAGUCAACUCCUAUGAAGUCAUUGAUAUAUUUUCUUCCACAUAAACCUUGAAAAAAUUCAUUUUGAAUAACAAAAAUUUAAAAUGACCAUCCAAAACAAAAUUGUUUUGAUGAGUCAUAAAAUCACUUCUAGUUUUAUGGUUUAGGGUUUAGAGUCUAGGGUUUAGAGAUUAGGGUUGUUAUUUAUUGGGGUUUAUUUUUAAAGUAUAAUUUUUGGGUAGUCUAUGUUAUAUGUUAGGCUUUAAAACCAUAAAACCUUUUAUAAACUUAAUUUUUUAAAUUGUAUAAUUUAAUUUUAUGGGUUUAGUGUAUUAAUUUUUAACGACGGUGGUUGGGUCGUGGAAUACAUAUUUUACGUCGUACAGUAAAACAUACGACAUGGUUUACGCUUUAAACGACGUUAUUUUAAUAUGUAAGUCAGUUUAUAUAAUUUACAAUGUCUUUAAUUUCUUAACACCGACGUGGUUUUUCAGUCGUCGUUAUAUAAAAAAUUCAAAAUAAAUUUAAAAUUAAUCCGAAAAAUGAACGGCCUUACGUUCUUAAUCCGAAAAAUGAAGUUUCCGUCGUGGAAUAUUAAAUUUACGUCGGUACUUGUAGAACUUUCGCCUUGGUUUUUCUUUCGACGUUUUAUAACGCGCGCGCUCUAAAAAUUUUCGCGCGACCUAAAUUUUUUUAGAUUUGGCUCUUAGUCUUAUACUUCGAUCCCUGAAACCUAAAAUUUCAGAUUUCACGCGACAUAACAUUUCGCUCUCUCACUUCUGCUCUAAUUAAAAGUUGCACUCUCCAGGCUCGUCGAAUCUGUGAGCUCGUCCAACCUGUAAGUACAAACCCUAUCUUCCCCUUGUAAAUUCAUUGAAUGAUAUUAGGUUGUUUUGUUAAAGGGUUUUAGGUAUAUGCUUUGCGAUCUGUUAAUAAUGUGCUUAUAGGUAUGGGUUCAUGGAUUUUCUGUUUAAUGGGUUCAUGACAAGAUCAAAUAAAGGUGUACUUUUGCUGGAAAUCAACACAAAAAGACACAUCACCAACUUCCAAAUGAUUUCCAGCAAAAGGACACCUUUAUUUGAUCUUGUCAUUUUCCGCUCUGGAGAAGGUGCAAAGUGCACCAAUGCUUAUAGGUAUGGGUUCAUGGAUUUUCUGUUUAAUGGGUUCAUGGAUUACAUUAUCUGUUAUGUUGAAUUGGGAAUGGAUUUAAUUUUGUCGUAUCUUUUAAUCACCCUAUGUUAUGUUGAAUUGGGAAUGGAUUUAUUGUUUUCAUGCUUGGUUUCAUGUAUAUGUUGGUUUCUUGCUUGGUUUCAUAUAUAUGUUGUGUUCUUAAUGGGUUUUGUGUUCUUGAAAAUAAACUGAGACACGACGAAUUUUAAGGCGUACGACGACGAUUACACGACGGUGUUUUUAAACUACCGUCGUUGUAUUACUUAUACACGACGGUUUUUUCAUAAACCGUCGUUUGUAUUACGUAUAAUAGACGACGUCUGUUGAAAAUCCGUCGUCUAUAUAUGCCAAAUACGUCUGUUUUUGAUUAAAACCCGUCGUCUCUGUUGUUUAUUACUUGCGAUUAGAUCAUUGUAUAAUCUGCUAUAGUGAUGGUCAUUGCCUGUAUUUUCACUUUAUUAUAGAUAAUAGGUUAUAGUGUCGGAGAUGGAUAAGUCAUGGAUGCACUCGGAUAGAAGAUCGAAGGCAUAUGAGUUUGGGGUGGAAGCAUUUUUGAACUUUGCUGUAGAAAAUCUUCUAACUACAACACAUAUCCGUUGUCCAUGUGUUAAAUGUGUUAAUUUGAAGUUGUUUGGGGUUGGAAUUAUAAGGGAUCACUUAUACUUUAAUGGAAUUGACCAAAGCUAUAAGAAUUGGACAUUUCACGGAGAACCUUGGGAAGCAACUACUAAUGCUAGCAGAAAUGUUGAAGAAGAUGAUGGCCAUAGUAGGUACAGUUUUGUGUCUGAAGAAAUUGAUAUGGAUGAUAAUGAUUUUGGUGAUUUUGGUUCGGAUCCGUAUGAGUUUGCCAAUGUGAUUGGGGAUGGAGAUCAACCAGUGUACCCUGGUUGUAGAAAGUACACGAAGUUAUCGGCAUUAGUGAAGUUGUAUAAUUUGAAGGCAAAACAUGGGAUGAGUGAUGUCUGUUUUACAGAAUUAUUGAUACUUCAAGGCGAUUUGCUUCCAGAAGGAAAUACAAUACCAACCUCCAUGUAUGAGGCUAAAAAGACUUUGUGUGCAUUGGGGCUGAGUUAUGAGAAAAUGCACGCAUGCCCCAAUGAUUGCAUCUUGUAUAGGAAGGAGUAUGAGGAUUCAACUAAUUGUCCUACUUGUGAUAUCUCAAGGUGGAAGGAAGGCAAAGAUGCAAUCUUGAAAGAGGGUGUGCCAGCGAAGGUGGUGUGGUAUUUUCCCCCAAUUCCAAGGUUUAAAAGGAUGUUUCAAUCACAUGAGACAGCUAAGAGUUUGACUUGGUGGCAUGUUGCUAGAAAAUCAAUUGACGGUCAGAUGUCUCAUCCGGCGGAUUCCCCGUCUUGGAAACUUCUUGAUGAUAAAUGGCCUGAGUUUGGUAAUGAGCCGAGAAACUUGAGAUUGGCUCUUUCAUCUGAUGGAUUCAAUCCCCACAGUUCUCUAAGUAGCAGAUAUAGUUGUUGGCCGGUUAUCUUAGUUACAUAUAAUCUCCCUCCAUGGCUGUGCAUGAAACGAAAGUUCAUGAUGUUAACCUUAUUGAUUUCCGGUCCUAAACAACCCGGAAAUGAUAUAGACGUCUACUUGGAGCCUUUGAUUGAUGAUUUAAAAUCCUUGUGGGUUGGGAUUAGAGGAGUGUAUGAUGCACAUAAUGGAGAAUACUUUACACUCAGAGCUGCAUUAAUGUGGACAAUUAAUGAUUUCCCCGCCUAUGGAAACUUAUCUGGUUGUGUUGUUAAAGGAUAUAAAGCUUGUCCAAUAUGCGGCGAUGAUACACCUAGUCACAGGUUGAAAAAUGGCCACAAAAUUUGUUACAUUGGGCAUAGAAAAUGGUUACCAAUCAAUCAUCCAUAUAGGAGGCAACGUGCAGCUUUUAAUGGGAAACCUGAAUAUGGCAUACCUCCAGAGCCAUUAACCGGAGAAGAAGUGCUGCAUAUGGUUGAAAAUGGUGACAGAGUUUGUUGGAAGAAGAAAUCAAUAUUCUUUGAUCUCGAGUAUUGGAAAUACCUUCCUGUGAGGCAUGCCCUAGAUGUUAUGCACAUUGAGAAGAAUGUUUGCGAUAGUAUCAUUGGUACAUUGCUGGAGAUCCCUGGAAAAAAUAAAGAUGGGAUUGCUGCUCGAUUAGAUUUAUUGAACAUGGGGGUCAAAACUGAUUUGCAACCCGAGUAUGGAGAAAGACGUACUCGUUUGCCUCCUGGGCCUUGGAAUUUGUCAAGAGCAGAGAAGAGAGAGGUUUGCAAUUCUUUCUAUGGUAUGAAGGUCCCUGAAGGUUAUUCUUCAAAUAUUAAAAAUCUUGUAUCUGUACAAGAUUCAAGACUUCUUGGCCUUAAAUCACAUGAUUGUCAUACCUUAAUGCAACAAUUGCUCCCUGUGGCAAUUCGUUCUGUUUUGGAGAAGCCUGCAAGGUAUGCAAUAACUCGUUUGUGCUUCUUCUUCAAUGCUAUAUGUGCAAAGACUGUUGAUGUUUCCAAGCUAGAUAAGUUGGAAGAAGAUGUAGUAGUUACUCUGUGUUUGCUUGAGAAGUACUUUCCCCCUUCAUUCUUUGAUAUCAUGGUUCAUCUAGUAGUACAUCUUGUCAGAGAAGUUCGUCUAUGUGGGCCAGUAUAUUUUAGGUGGAUGUAUCCGUUUGAAAGAUAUAUGAAAGUGCUGAAGGGGUAUGUUCAGAAUCGUACUCGUCCCGAAGGUUGCAUUGCUGAGCGGUAUAUAGCUGAAGAAGCGGUAGAGUUUUGUACUCAGCAUUUAUCUGAUGUUAGUACAGUUGGAGUGCCUUCAAGCCAAAAGAUGGGAGUUUCAAAGCCAUUAUCAGGUUGCACAGUGAGCGUAGUUGAUCAGGACCUGUUGAAUCAAGCACAUCUAUAUGUCUUGGAGAAUACGGAGGAAGUCCUACCUUAUAUCGAGUACGUAUGAGUUUUAUUCUUUAAGUUUCCAUUUAAAAUUAUUUCUUAUGUUUAUCUUAUAUAUUUGGGACCGUAAUGCUUGAAUUUUUCGUGUCAUGUAGGCAACAUAUGAUCCACAUCAAGACUGCUUAUCCAAAAUUUAGAAAGAGAACAAAGUGGCUGCAGGAUAAGCACAAUAGCACUUUCAUUCAAUGGCUACGCUUCAAGGUAUAUGUUGUUGAAUAACGUAUUUCUCUUUUAAUUUUCUUCUUAUUUAUAUGUUAGGAUGAAUUAAGAUAUGAUUAAUUUGCAGGUUCAAAGUGAACUUGAGGAAGACAAUCAUGGCGUAUCAGAAAAUUUAAGGUGGCUAGCAGCUGGUCCAAACAUGUCAGUGCCAUUAUAUAGGAGCUAUCUUAUUAAAGGUAUUAAAUUCAAUAUCAAGGCACAAGAUGAUGUGCGGACAACUCAAAAUAGUGGAGUUUAUUUACUUGCACAUACCAUGCAAGUUGCUAGUGCCAAGGAUAAAAACCCAAUUCUCUCAAAUAUGGGUUUCUAUGGUGUCAUUCAAGAAAUUUGGGACCUUGACUACCAAAAGUUUACAAUCCCAGUCUUUAGGUGUGAUUGGAUAGAUAGUUCUGGUCUUGUAGUCGACGAACUUGGAUUUACCCUUGUAGAUUUGAGUAAAAUUGGACAUAGGAAUGACCAAUUUGUUUUGGCUUCUCAAGUCAAACAAAUAUUUUUUGUUGACGACCCGAUGCAUCGUGGUUGGUCGGUAGUGUUAUCAAUGCCUAGUAGAGAAUAUAAUGAUGUUAUUGGUGAUGAAGUAUUAGGUGAUGUGAUAAUUGAGUGUGAGCCAUUUACUAGAGGGAUGCCAAAUGUUGACACAUUUGAUGAACUGGUAGGUGAGUUAGGCGGUCAAAAUAUUCGAGAUGGGUGUGAAGAUAUAUGGAUUGAAUGAUGCUUAUGUAAUUGGCAGUGUAUGACAUUAAUUUUGUAAUAUAUUGUAAUGUGAUUUCUUCACUUUCUACGUUCAAAUAAAACACGACGUUAUUGUGAAUCAGUUAUUCAGCAUAUUUACCGACGUCUUAAAGCAACGUAACAAUGAAGAACCACGACGCUAUUGUGAAGCAAUUAUUCAGGAUAUCACGUCGGUGAAGGAUAAAGAACCGCCAUGUAAUUCAAAAUAACACGACUCCAAUCCCAUAAUACCGACGUCUAAAAAACGAGAUAUAUAAUCUGAACGUUAAAAAAUACGACGUCAUCAUACAUUUUCCACGUCGCAAGUUCUUUUAUAAACGAAGAGGAACGAAAUUAAUUCCGACGGAAAUUCAUUAUAACCGCCGUCUAAUAACAAUUAAACAACGUUAUUUGUAAUACGGCUCCCAUCAUAAUCUACGUCGUCUAUAUGUUCUGUAAUACGGCUCUCAUUUAUUUGGAACCGACGUUGUUUAGACGUUCAACGUCGUCUAUAUUAUUAAGUGCGUCGUGAGUAAUGAAUACAUAUAAAUACAACGUCGACUAUAUAAAUGUAUACGUCGUAAAUAAUGACACUGACAACUAUUUCCACGUCAUCUUUUUUAGAAAAAUCGAAGUGGAAAAUUUAUUUCACGACGGUUUUUUGUAAAUAAGAGACGUUGUAGAACUUUAGCAGACUAAACACGUCUGUUUUUAUUGUUUUCCGACGUUGUUGUAUUUAACAACGUCUAAUAUUUAUGGUCGUUGUUUGUUUCUGAAAAUAGGACGUAUAAAUUUUUUAAUACGACUCUCAUAUAUUUGUAACUGACGUUGUUUAGUUUUUCAACGUCUACUAUAGAAACACAUACGUCGUAAAUAAUGACACUGACAACUAUUUCCACGUCAUCUUUUAUCGAAAAAUCGAAGUGGAAAAUUAAUUGUACGACGGUUGUGUUUAUAUGUGCGACGUAGUAGGUAUCAAUAACGUCGUCUUCUAAUGUAUUUAAAGACGUCAUAUUUUUUAUUGUCGUGAAAAUUAUAUUUAACGUCGGCGUAUUUUUAUUGUCGUCGUUGUAUGUCUAUCUUGCGGCCUUGUUCUCUUAAUAUGUGUCAUAUUUUCCCUUUUUAACGACGGUCUUUUUAGAGAAUUGGUCGUCUAUUAUCAUCCUCGAUUGCUUUUUUUAGAUCUUUUUGCAGUACAAAGACGUCGUUUUGUAUUUUUUGAUGACGUUGUAUUGUUUAACAACGACGGUUAUUUAGCGUCGUGGUUUAUGAGGGAAAAGAUGACGGUGGAUUCCACGACCAUUGAAAAACCAAAUACACGACGGUGAUUUACCGUCGUCUUUUUGCUUUUUUGUAGUAGUGAAUCAAUGUUUUGAGCUUUCACAAUUUCUAUCUCCCUAACGUAUAUUUGAUUACUUAACAUUGUAAAUAUAAAUAAUCUAUCUAAUACUGUAAAUAUAAUUUACCUAACGUAUUUUUGCGCUCAUUUUUCAUAUCUUCAACUGUUUGGCUUCACAUCACGUCAUGCACAUGACGCAUGUAAAACUCUUAACUUGUCAUUUGAAUAAUUAUAUAUACAUAGAAAAUUUGACAUACGUACGUACCGGUCAAAGAAGAUAACACUACACAUACGUACAUACACAGAGAAGGUAGAAAGGUAGAAAUAUGGUCGUUUUUCAAUAUAUCAAAUCAAUUGAGGUCCUUACAUUUAACGAGCAUGUAAAAGCUAAAUUUGAAGAAGAAAAAUCAAAAGAGGAAAAUGAAGCAUCAAAUUUGCGGCCGGAUAAUCACGUUCCUUUUGUUCUGUCUUAAAAGGGCAUUUAUGGAAAUACACACAUUUUGAAAUACGUAAUGGGUUUGACUUAAACUGAUUCUAUAAAUAACACACAAAUUAUGCGAGUCUACACAAAGACAUCAUAACAAAGGCAAAGAGAAGUACGUGUGUGACACAUACAUUGAAAAAAAAAAUUAGAAAUUUGCAUGGAUUUGCAAGGAUCUUCAGUUAAGUAUCUUGUAACCAAGGUUAAACAAGAUCUCUUAGCGUCAUCACAGGUUGAUGUUUAUGGUCUUGUACCUCCUUCUCCUUACGACACUGCUUGGCUCUCAAUGGUUUCCAACCCUCAACACUCAGAUCAACCAUUGUUUCAGGGGUGCUUGGAUUGGGUGCUCCAACACCAAAACAGAGGAGGCUUCUGGGGUGAGAAUAUUGGUCAUCCCACUUUAGAGUGCCUCACUUCAACUCUUGCUUGCAUUGUUGCACUUAUCACAUGGAAUGUUGGUCACGAUGCCAUUCAGAAAGGUACACAUAUAAAUUCUGGUUCUUUAUACGAAAAUUAACCAAUUUUGCGCAUAACUAAUUGCUGCAAACUUUGCUUUGUUGUGUUUGUUGGCUCGACUGUGUAUAUAUGUAUGUUUAGGGUUGGCAUUCAUCCAUGGAAACACAGAGAGGCUCUUGGAAGAGCAGAAUGGUUCUUUUCCUGAGUGGUUUGCAAUAGUUUUCCCAGCAAUGAUUGAACUUGCAGAGACCAAAGGAUUACAUGUUUACUUUUCUAAUGGGCUGGUAGAACAAGUCUUCCUAGAGAGACAAGAAAUAUUGCAAACGCGCAGGUAGUUUUAAAUUUUAAUUUCACUUUAUUUUUUUUAUAGGUAGUGAACUUAUAAUAGACUUAAUUUGGUGCAGGUGGGUGUCUGGUUGUGGUCAGCAACAGUAUUAUCCAGCACUCAUGUUACAAUAUCUUGAAGACGGGUUAAUCCAAUCCCCAUCAGCCAUUGCAUAUGCUUUCAUGAAGACAGGAAACAAGGAGUUUUUGGUGAAACAUGUGGUUAUGGAAGUACGUCGUUUUCUUUUUAUAUUUUGUAUUAUAUGAUUUCAUUGUUGUCCUCCUUAGUUUGUCACCUACCGUCCAAACAUUCUGAUCAUAUAUACGUCACUAAAUGACGAAUUAACAACAAUAGGCUUGGCUUGUAUAUCAAGUGGUUGAAAAUAGUUUUUCAUGUAUAUGACGUCAUGUGUUCGACUUCUACUUCCCAGUAUUGCUUUUAUUAAAAAUAAAAAAUUACAUGGGCUAACAUGGGAUGAUAAUUUUGGCACGUUUACAGUUCCUGCGGUCUACCCCUUGGAUGAAGACCUUGUAAACAUUCUUCUAAUUAACCAGAUUGAGACGCUGGGGUUAGCAGAGCAUUUCAUGGAGGAGAUUAAAAGUUUGCUGGCCCAAGUUUACAGGUGACAAUCAAUCCUAAUAUACAACAUUAAUUAAGUACAUAUGCAAUUAAAAUGUACAUAUAAUUAAUCUGGUUGGUUAAUUUUAAUUUUAAUUUUUUAAAUUAAAUCAGAAGUUGCAUAAGCUGCAAAGAAUCAAAGAGUAUGGGAAAGCAUGCAAUCCCACUACAACUUUAUACACAUGCUCUCUCAUUUCGACUUCUAAGACUAUAUGGUUAUAGAGUUUCUCCUCGUAAGGAUCAAUGCUAAUUACAUAUGUUUAUUAGUUAUUGUACUAAACUUUGUUAAUUUAAUAUUUAAUUCAUUUGCGUUUUGCAAUUAUUUUUGCAGGGAAGUUCUGCAGGUUCCUAGAGGAUGAAGAUAUAGUGACGUACAUAGAAGAGUACCAUGAGCUUUUUUUGAGUGCCAUGUAUAAUGUAUACAGGGCAACUGAUGUUACUUUUACUGGAGAAAAUCAACUUGAGGAUGCCAGGGCAUUCUCAAGAAGAAUUCUAGAAAAGGAAACAAUGAAAAAUUGUACGAAUUUGGUCCGACCUAUUAGUUUGACUAAUUUGCAAGGUCAGGUAUAUUUUAUAGGCUUAUUUACUAUUUCACUCCAUGGAAUGGACACUCGGUCUCACUUUACCAUCUUAAGCUGAAAUUUUUUCAUUUAAUCCCGUGAAUCUUUAAAAAUUGCUGAAAUUUUUUCACUUUAUCACUUCUGUCCAUUUCCAUUCACAAAACCAUUAAGGCCCCGUUUGGGAUUGCUUUUUUUCACUAAAAACCUGCUUCACUUUAAAGUUAAGCAGUUUAAAAUGUUUGGUAAAAAUAAAAUAUCCUAAUUAUUUUAAAAACAAUGGCUUUUUGACAGCAGCUUUUAAAAGCAAGCUCCCCGUUGCUUUUCAAAACUGCUUUCAAAAGAAGCAGAGAUGAGCCUUUAAUAGAUUUUUUUAAUUUCCAAAAUACCAUUAUUCAUUUUAAAAAAUGAAACCACCUCCACUUCCACCACCAACCCACAUCCUCAUCCUCUACCACCACCACCAUAACUACCACCUCUUCCACCACCCCCACCUCGUCCACCACCACCACCACCACCAACACACAUCCUCAUCCUCUACCACCACCACCAUAACUACCACCUCUUCCACCACCCCCACCUCGUCCACCACCACCAUCACCUCCACCUCCACAACUGCCAUCCCCACCACCACCACUGCCACAACCACCAACUCCACCUUUAUCACCACCUCCACCUUCAUCACCACCACCUUCACUCCACCACUACCACUACCACCACAUGAUUAGCACAUAACACUUUCAACGUCAUGUCUAUUUUAGUCAUUAUUCACAGGUAUAACAGUUUUAUAUUAAAAUUUACCAAACGGUUUUGACACAGUUUUUUGUACUAACAGCACUUUAAAAAUAUUGUUUACCAAACAUGGAACUAUUUUACUUUACAGCUAAUUAUUUUCAAAGCACAGCAGAAGCAAUUUUUUUUUUUUAAGUGACAGCAUAGGUAUUCUAGUAAUUUUAACUCCUUAUCUUCUCUCUUAUCUCUGUCCCUUUUGCCUCUCUCUUCUCUCUCCUAUCUUCUCUCUUCUCUCUUUUCUCAGCCUCUUUCUCCUCUCAGCCUCUCUCUCUUCUCUCCCCCUGCCAACAAAUAAGAAAAAUAUGAAUAAAAUAUAUACGUCAAUAUUUGACAAAAUUUUAAUCUAUAAUGUUAUUAUUUAAGAAAUAUGUGAAUUUGCCUUAUUAUACUCGAUAAUUUUAAUUAGUUACUUAAUCAGACUCCUUAAUUUGUUGCAUAUUUCCCUUGUUGUAGAUUAAGCAUGAACUUAGUAUCCCAUGGCUUGCUCGGUUGGAUCAUCUAGAGCACCGGAGGUGCAUUGAGAGGAAAGAAACUCUUGGUCCAUGGACAGGAAACUCCUUAUCCUAUAGGUAAUUACUAAUGCUAAAUACAAUUAGAUUAAAGGAUCAAUUGCGGUUAAUUACUUGAUUAAGCAGUUUGAUUAAUUAUUCCUGCAGAUUAUUAGCUUGUCAAAGCAAUGCCAUGCUGCUACAACUUGCCAUUGAGAAUUAUACCCUAAGACAGUCCAUAUUCAGAAAUGAAUUAAAGGAGUUAGAAAGGUACUCCUAAUUGUUUUAUUUAUUUAUUUUAUUUUAAUCAGUCUUGUAAAAUGAAAACACUUUUUUUUUGUGGUGAAAAAUCAUAUGCAGGUGGUCAAAAAUACUUUCUCAAAAUAAUUUACUAACUAAUGUUGAUAUAUCAUAUAAAAUCAGAUGGGAGCCAAAAGGCCUGACUGGACAUGGCAAAACUAUAUUCAAUGCUCUCAAAGAUUUUGUUGACGACAUUUCUGGGAAAUUCUUCAAUAAAAAUGGAUAUGACAUAAAGGCAUAUCUCCAGGAUCUAGUAAGACUUUACUUUCAAAUUUCAGUUGACAAUAUUUUCUUACACUUGUGCGUAGCAUUAUGGUAAAAAAAAGCUUGUAACUUAUUUUUAACUUUUUACCAAAUGAAUCUUAGUGGUGCCAAACCUUUGCAAGCUGGUUAAAGGAAGCAGAGUGGAGCAGAAAUGGGCAUGCCCCAUCAACAGUUGAGUACCUCCAAGUGGCCGCAACCUCUAUUGCUUCACAUACUAUUCUUCUUCCAGCUGCUUUUCUGCUUUAUCCACCUCCAGAAAUAGACAUCCUCAAGAAAAGGCAGCCACUUACAAAUUCACUUAUGCUUUUAACAAGGCUUUUGAAUGAAAUUAGAAGCUACCAGGUACAUAUUUAAUGAUCAGAUUCUUAAUUAAUUGUCAUUAUGUUUAGUAAUCUCUUAAUUUUCAUUUGUUAAUGGUAUAAUUGCAGAAGGAGCAAGAGGAGGGAAAGCCAAACCUUGUUCUGCUAUACAUGAAGGAGAAUCCAAAUUUGGGGGUUGAAGAAUCAAUAGCAAUUAUACAGAAGACAUUGGAUGAAAAGAAGAAAGAGUUUCUAGAACUGGCUCUGAUUAGUGAUGAAAUGCCAGAAGCAUGCAAACAACUUCACCUUCACUGCCUCAAAGCAUUUCAGAUGUUUUUCAAUUCUACAAAUGCAUUUGACUCCCCAACAGAAAGCAAUUUUUGAUCCCUUGAGAGUGGAGGAUGUGCAAGGAUCAUUUAUGCCACUCAGCUCUAUCAAUAUAAUCGAGAAUUAUUCUUCUUAAUACAAUCACCAAUUUAACAUGGUAUCAGAGUGAGCUAAUUGACUGGGCAAGAAUUACUAGGCCUUUACACAAUACGUGGUGUUCACGUGUUGGGCUUGCUUGUUUAUCCUUACCCCUUAUCCAAUACGUGGUGUUCAUGUGUUUGGUUUGAAUAUUUGACUCUGAUGUAGAAUUGGCUCCACGUGUAGCUAACUACGUACGUAAGGGGACGUGUUGAAGAAUGUAAAGUCCCACAUUUUAAACUUGACUAAAUAAUUACAAUAUAUAAUGAGUGGUUCCACUAUUAAUAGCAUCGAGGCCUUUUGUAUAAAACGUCACACUUGCUAAACAUGUGAUUAAGUUGAAGACUAUAAGGGGCUGCCCUACUUUCAUUUAUUUAUUUUUAACUACAAAACUUGUACAAUCAAACGUUUUGGCAAGAACAAAAAUAAAGGCAAAACAAAACUUUUUGGCAAAAAACAUGUACAUAGAAAAAAAAAAAACCCAACAACCAAACGUGCAUUGCAGUUAAAAGUUUUUUAGAAUAUAAUACUAAUAAAUAACAAGACAUAUUGGUGAAUUUCUAACCCGAGACCACAAAAAUCCUUUCUUCUUUUUACUUUCCAAAUUUAAUGUUUGGCUUCAUACAUGCAAAACAUCAAUUUUCACGACAUUGAGUGUGUCUGGUCUUCGAAUUCGUACCUCUCAAGUCUCAACUUGGCCCUGUUCCACAAGUUGAGUGUGUCUGGUCUUCGUCUUCGUACGUACCUCUCAAGUCUCAACAGUAUCAUAUCAUGUUGCACGUUGUGUGGUCCAAGAAGCCUAAGCUAUCACUGAAUAGUUGUGUGUUAGCUGGUUGAGAUAUUUAUAAAUGUCGGCCGGCUACCCUCUUUAUAAUUCUCAAACAAAACGGCACAUGCAUGGUCGUUUUUCAAUCAAAUCAAUUGAGGUCCUUACUCCAUGACAAUCAUCUAAACUAAAAAUUAUAUUGGAGUCAAAUUUGAGGCCGGAGGUCCACCAGAUUGACAAAUACCAUUACAGCACCUGCGCUAGGGAACUCAAGGAAAGACCUAGUGGCCAAGCCUUACUCUAGAAUAAUCUUAUCAGUUAAGAUGACAAACCCAACUAAUCUUUUUCUUCAAGGAAGAUGAUAAUUGAUAAAGGAAUUUCAAAACUUGUCUGGAACGGAGGCUAUCUAGAUAGAUGUAGUGUCACUUUUUAAGACAAUAACUUGGGGAUUAAGCUCAUCCACCGCGAUUCCCCAGAAUCACCACUCUACCAGCCCAACCUCACACAAGCAGAAAGAACUCAAAACCUCAUUCUCCUACUAUCCAAUGUUAAUGUUCUGCGUUCAAUAGUUGACCAUCAAGAGGUACUUUCUCCUGGAUUGUUCGACCAGCCUACGAAAUCAUGGAAUGAGCACCGGUGAACUACUUCUCUUGGAUUCCUGGCCUCAUGAGAUCAUGCUGACACCGAGACUUUUCGAUUUGUGCUACCAAAGACCAGCAUGACGAAGACAAGGAUAUAACAAUCUUGCAACUAUCACAUUCCAUUUAGGUGGUGCUGAUCUUAUGCUGCAGCCUCCGAGUGCCUUUUCUGUGGGUCUCGAUCAGAGCCGAAAAGAGUAUUUUUUUUAUUAGCAAUGAUAUCCUCAGGGCUUUCCCAACUUGAAAGCCUCAUAGGUGUAUACCAUCGUUUCAUAUUUGAUCUUAACAGAAAGACAUUGUGUUUUGGACUCGAAGAUUGUAUUCGAAAUUUAUAAAUUGUUAUUGUCAUGUCUUGCUACCUAGUUAGCUAGCUAGAGUGCUAGCAACCAUAAGGAAUUACUAUCAGAACAGGAGGAAAUGAAUAAAAUUUUCGAAGAAAAAUUCAACCUCUCUUGCCUUGAACAUGCAUAUGUGUGUGACUAUUUGUCUUAAAACUUUUCCUUCUCUUAUCAUUGAGAUGUUGUGAUGUAUGUGAAAGUUAAACGAUGAGAGAGGACAUGUUGCAAGGUGAAACGUGUAGGAGAAUUGGUCUCUCUUCUAAAGAAAACUCGAGGGGUGGGAUACCAAGAUAAAUCAAUUAAUUUGUCUUAAUUAACUACAGAACCUAUGCUGCAAAAUAUUCAAGCCAUCUUUGCCAUUACUUAGGUUACAAUCUGCACCUCCGGAAAAACCAUGUCAGGGUUCUAAAUAAGUUUCAAACAAGAUUGCUCAAAACACAACUGGAAUUGCCACACAGAAACAGUGGCAGUGGUAUUGCAUUUAUUUAUAUUGAAUCAAAGGUACAUCAGAUGACGAGGACAAGAGUCCAGAUAAGAACACAACACCGUCAAGAUAAUUACAAUGAGUUUACACGUGAGAUAGAUAAUGAUACAAGAUAAGCUUUAGGGAGGCUCAUGAGCAGCUAUGGGUUGUCUUGUCUAUCACUUGGUACAAUAAUGUCUCAUCCGCAGAGUACUAUUAUUUUUCCUGCGGUGCAUUAGCAAACUCAUUUUUCUUGUGUAUUUGUUGUACGUAUUCUGACAAAACUUAUUAUUUGGAUUGAAAUAAAGCACCAUGGACUUUAUUGGAACGAUCAACUCUGCACACACUUUAGACUUUAGAUUAUAGAUUAUUAACUCGGCAUAUUUGUUUUAAUUGUCAUUUUCUAAUUGGUUUUUAGUGUGUUAACAUUUUAUAAGAACCAAUUAGAAAAUAACAAGUGGCUAGUUUUGAGUUUUUCACUCCAAAUAAGUUCUAUAAGAGUUUUUGUAUAUUAUGUCAUGCUAAAAUGAGUUAAUCAAAUUUGAGUAUGACAAUCGCACCUUCAAUAUAAAUACGUCACCAGUUUUUUUAGAAUAUAUAUAAUACUAAUAAAUAAAACGCAUGUUAUAUAUAAUAUUGGUGAAUUAGGGACACCCACGCCAACAAAAUCCUUAUACUUUCCAAAUUUAACAUGUCCAAAUGUUUGGCUUCAAGCAUGCAAAACAUCAAUGUCGUGACAAUAGCGGUGACCCUCUCUACCACUCUUGAACUUGACUUACUAUGUCUGGUCUACGUAGAUACCCAAGAAGUUUUGGGCCAAUAAUUACAUUGCACAUGUUGUGUGUGGUCAGCAAGAAGCUCAGAGUAGUAUGUUAGCAGGUUGAGAAAUUCAUAAAUGUCGGCCGGGUACCCUAGCUAGUCCUCGGUCGUCUUUGUAAUUCUCAAACAAAACGGCAUAUGUGACAUAUUAUUUAUUAUAUGGUCCUUACUAAAUUGGAACAACUUGGAAGAAAUAGAGGAGGAAAAAUGAAGCAUCAAAUUGCGGCCGGAUCAGGUCCACCACCAGAUUGACAGACUUCAAAAUUCUACAUCCAGCAUGUAUCCAUGUGAAUUUCUUAGAAUUUUCAAGUGUAAACACUGAGAAAAAGAAGCAAAAGACGAUUAGAAUUCCAGAUGUUAUCCUUAUAAUUAAUGAAGUGCAACUAGCCUUGAGUUCGUUACUUUAAAUUAUACCAGCACUUGCCCAACGUAUGUGUACUUUCGUGGAAACCCACAUUAUUAAUGUAGUCUGGAUUUUGGACACAGGGCACGAUUAUUUGGUCCUAACUACAAAAGCGGCCCGCAAUUCAUUCAUACCAGGACUCGACACAGUAGAAAUUGAUUUUGUUCUGCACUCACUUUCAAUGUACUUAAAGGGCACUUAUGGAAAUUCACACUUGUUGAAAUACCUAAUGGUUUGAGUUAACUGAUUUUAUAUAAAUAGCACACAGAUUAUGCGAGAAUCUACACAAAAAAUACUAAGAAAAGGAAAAAGUAGUGUGCGUGUGACUCUGAAUUAAAAAUAUAUAUUUUGCAUGGAUUCGCAAGAAUCUCUAGUUAAGAAUCUUUUAAUGAAGGUUAAACAAGAUCACUUGGCGUCAUCAGAAUUUGAUGUUUAUUCUCUUGUGCCUCCUUCUCCUUAUGACACUGCUUGGCUCUCAAUGGUUCCCAACCCUCAACAAUCAGAUCAACCAUUGUUUCAGGGGUGCUUGGAUUGGGUGCUCCAACACCAAAACAGAGGAGGCUUCUGGGGUGAGAAUAUUGCUCAUCCCACCAUAGAGUGCCUCACUUCAACUCUUGCUUGCAUUGUUGCACUUACCACAUGGAAUGUCGGCCACGAUGCCAUUCAGAAAGGUACACACGCACAUAUAUAUAUAUAUAUAUAAUUUUUCUCUAAUUUCGACGUUGGGAUUCUAUUAAAAUCCUGUUCUCUAAUCAUUAUUGGACUGUUUCAAUUACCAAACAUUAUACUCUUUCAGUAGCUUAAAUCAAGAGAACCAUACUUUUAAAAAAAAGUAACCAAUUAUACCUGAAAAUUAACCAAUUUUGCGCAUAAUUAAUUGCUGCAAACUUUGCUUUGUUGUGUUUGUUGACUCGACUGUGUGUAUAUGUAUGUUUAGGGUUGGCAUUCAUCCAUGGAAACACAGAGAAGCUCUUGGAAGAGCAGAAUGGUUCUUUUCCUGAGUGGUUUGCAAUAGUUUUCCCAGCAAUGAUUGAACUUGCAGAGACCAAAGGCUUACAUGUUUACUUUUCUAAUGGGCUAGUAGAACAAGUCUUUCUAGAGAGACAAGAAAUAUUGCAAACGCGCAGGUAGUUUUAAAUUUUAAUUUCGCUUUAUUUUUGAUAUGUAGUACACUUAUAAUAGACUUAAUUUGGUGCCUGGUUCUCAUAUCCCAAGUGUGAAAAUUUAUCUAGCUAGUUUUCUGUUGGGGCAGGUGGGUGUCCGGUUGUGGUCGGCAACAGAAUUAUCCAGCACUCAUGUUAAAAUAUCAUGAAGACGGGUUAAUCCAAUCCCCAUCAGCCAUUGCACAUGCUUUCAUGAAGACGGGGAACAAGGAGUUUUUGGUCAAAUUGAAUUCUAUUGUCCAAACAUGUGGUUAUGGAGGUACGUAGUUUUCUUUUUAUAUUUUGUAUUAUAUGAUGUCAUUGUUGUCCUACUUGCAUGUGACUAGUGUUCAUAUAUACGUCACUAAAUGACAAAUUAACCACAAUAGGCUUGGCUUGUAUAUCUCAAGUGGUUGAAAAUAGUUUUUCAUGUACAUGAGGUUAUGUGUUUAAGUUCCGCUUCUUGGUAUUGCUUUUAUUAAAAAUAAAAAAGCUACAUAGUCUAACAUAUAGUAGGACAAUUUGGUACGUUUACAGUUCCUGCGGUCUACCCCUUGGAUGAAGACCUUGUAAAGAUUCUUCUAAUUAACCAGAUUGAGACGCUGGGGUUGGCAGAGCAUUUCAUGGAGGAGAUUACAAGUUUGCUGGGCCAAGUUUACAGGUUACAGCCAGCCCUAAUAUUCAACAUUAAUUAAUCAUAUUUAUAUAUAGAUAUUUAACAUGUGCAUAAAAUUAAUCUGGUUGAUUAAUUAUUUUUGUCUAAAAGCAGAAGUUACAUCAGCUGCGAAGAACCGAAGAGUAUGGCAAAGAAUGCGAUGCCGAUACAACUGUAUAAACAUUCCCUCGCAUUUCGACUUCUAAGACUUUAUGGUUAUAGAGUUUCUCCUCGUAAGGAUCAAUGAUAAGUACAUAUAUGUUUAUUAAUUGAAUUGCAUAUUAAACUGUUGAAGAAUUUAAAGUCCCACCACACAUUGGAAAAUUUUCACAAAAUAAAUAUAAUAUAUAAUGAGUGGUUCCACAACUAAUAUCACCGAAACCUUUUUGUGACAAACCUCUCUGAAAUUUAACAUAGUAUCAGAGCGGGAGAGGCUACAACAAGAAGGUUAAAGUGAGGAGGCUAUUUGGGGAGGCCAAUCCCACCAUCAAAACAUUUAAAAUGUUUAAGUCCCAUGAUUUCUUUACAUUUGUUGAUGGUGAGAUUAACCUUCUCACUUUAAACUCUUCAUUAUAGCCUCCCCGGUAUCAAAGCAAGUUGAUUGACUAGACCUGAAUUACUGGUCGUUUACCCUUACUCUAUACCGAACACGUGGUGUUCACAUUUUGGACUUGAAUGUUUACUCUUACUCCUUAACUAAUACGUGGUAUUCAUGUGUUGGGCUUGAAUGAUUGACUUCGUGAUGUGGAUUUCACUGCACAUGUGGCCCACUAUGUGGUGGUACCACGUGAGGGGGCAUGUUGAAGAAUAUAAAGUCUCACAUCAAAAACUUGAUCAAAUAAAAUAUAACAUAUAAUGAAUUGUUCCACUACUAAUAUCACCGAGGCCUUUUAUUUUAAAAAUCUCACACGUACUCGGCUUUGUAGAUAAUUGAAUUGGGGAUAAUAUCGAUAUUGUUAGUAGUGGGCUGAUAGUCCGUAUCUUUGAAAUUUAAUAUAAACUUUGUUGAUUGAAUAUUAAUUUGCGUUGCAAUUACUUUUGCAGGAAAUUUCUGCAGGUUCCUCGAGGAUGAAGAUAUAGUGGCUUACAUAGAAGAGCAUCGGGAGCUUUUCUUGAGUGCCAUGUAUAAUGUAUACAGGGCAACUGAUGUUACCUUUACAGGAGAAAAUCAGCUCGAGGAUACCAGGGCAUUCUCAAGAAGAAUACUAGAAAAGGAAACAAUGAAAGAUUGUAUGAAUUUGGUCCGACCUAUUAGUAUGACUAAUUUGCAAGGCCAGGUAAAUGUAAAUUAUAAAUAGGGCUAACUACAAAACACCCCUAGAUAUUAGUUUUUUAAAAGAAUAUUUAUUGUUUUAUUAUUUUAAGGAUUUUUUAAUUAUUUUUAUUGACACAUCAGCACAAAAGUGGGUCCCUCACUUGCCACAUCAUUAGUUUAAUAAAAAACUAGACGGUCAAAUUAACGAAAUGUGUAAAUUAAUCGAAUCUUAAAACGUUCGGAUGUGAAUUGAUAAACCUCGAGGCCCAUACUGAGAAUGACCCCAAAUAUUUAGGUAGCCCAAAUAAAUUUUACAAUAAAUUAAAAAAAAUAACAACAAAAUAUAUACCUGUAUUAUUCGACAAAAUUUAUGAAUAAAAAAAAUAUUGUAAAAAGUUAGGCCAUUAUUAUUCAUUUAAAAUUUUAAUCUUUUUAUUUAAAACUAUGUGAAAAAUAUUUAUAUAAUAUGUGAAUUUUCUUUAGCAUACUUGAUAAUUCUAAUUAGUUACUUAAUUUGUUGAAUAUUGUGUAGAUUAAGCAUGAACUUAGUAUUCCAUGGCUUGCUCGUUUGGAUCAUCUAGAGCACAGGAGGUGCAUUGAGAGGGAAGAAAGUCUUGGUCCAUGGACAGCAAAUGCCUUAUCCUAUAGGUAAUUACUAAUACUAAAUUCAAAUUAGAAGAAAGGCAGUCAAAUUUUCCCAAUCAGAUCAAUUGCUGUUAAUUACCUGAUUAACCGGUUUCAUUAAUUAUUUCCCGCAGAUUAUCAUCUCAAAGCAAUGCCACGCUGCUACAACUUGCCAUUGAGAAUUAUUCCCUAAGACAGUCCAUAUUCAGAAAUGAAUUAAAGGAGUUAGAAAGGUACUCCUAAUUGUUUUAUUUAUUUGUUUUAUUUUAAUCAGUCUUGUAAAAUGAAAACACUUUUUUUUUUUUUUUGUGGUGAAAAAUCAUACGCAGGUGGUCAAAGGAAAUGGGUCUUGCUGCCAUGGGAUUUGCUCGACAGAAAACCACGUACUGCCAUUUUGCAGUUGCUUCAACCGCAUCAAACUCUUCCCUUUCAGAUGUACGGCUGGCAGUUGUGAAGAGUGCAAUUCUUGUUACAGUUGCUGAUGAUUUUUUUGAUAGGGAAGGUUCAAUGGAUGAAUUGGAAGCUCUUGCCAAUGCCGUCAACAGGUACAAUGUAAUGUUAAACAAUGAUUCUUGUAUACCCCACGACCACGAUUAUAUAAAGUUCGUCUCACAAUAUUUAACCACAAGACUGAUUGUUAUGUGGUGAAUUACGAACACCAAAGAAGUUUUACAUAAUAUAAUUCUCGCAUUCAAAAAUACUUUCUCAAAAUAAUUUACUAACUAAUGUUGAUAUAUCAUAUAAAAUCAGAUGGGAGCCAAAAGGCCUGACUGGACAUGGCAAAACUAUAUUCAAUGCUCUCAAAGAUUUUGUUGACGACAUUUCUGGGAAAUUCUUCAAUAAAAAUGGAUAUGACAUAAAGGCAUAUCUCCAGGAUCUAGUAAGACUUUACUUUCAAAUUUCAGUUGACAAUAUUUUCUUACACUUGUGCGUAGCAUUAUGGUAAAAAAAAGCUUGUAACUUAUUUUUAACUUUUUACCAAAUGAAUCUUAGUGGUGCCAAACCUUUGCAAGCUGGUUAAAGGAAGCAGAGUGGAGCAGAAAUGGGCAUGCCCCAUCAACAGUUGAGUACCUCCAAGUGGCCGCAACCUCUAUUGCUUCACAUACUAUUCUUCUUCCAGCUGCUUUUCUGCUUUAUCCACCUCCAGAAAUAGACAUCCUCAAGAAAAGGCAGCCACUUACAAAUUCACUUAUGCUUUUAACAAGGCUUUUGAAUGAAAUUAGAAGCUACCAGGUACAUAUUUAAUGAUCAGAUUCUUAAUUAAUUGUCAUUAUGUUUAGUAAUCUCUUAAUUUUCAUUUGUUAAUGGUAUAAUUGCAGAAGGAGCAAGAGGAGGGAAAGCCAAACCUUGUUCUGCUAUACAUGAAGGAGAAUCCAAAUUUGGGGGUUGAAGAAUCAAUAGCAAUUAUACAGAAGACAUUGGAUGAAAAGAAGAAAGAGUUUCUAGAACUGGCUCUGAUUAGUGAUGAAAUGCCAGAAGCAUGCAAACAACUUCACCUUCACUGCCUCAAAGCAUUUCAGAUGUUUUUCAAUUCUACAAAUGCAUUUGACUCCCCAACAGAGUUGCUUGC